rnacentral:rRNA from 1 species
GGCGAGGGGAGUGAAAAAGAACCUGAAACCGUGUACGUACAAGCAGUGGGAGCACAGGUUUACCUGUGUGACUGCGUACCUUUUGUAUAAUGGGUCAGCGACUUAUAUUCUGUAGCAAGGUUAACCGAAUAGGGGAGCCGGAGGGAAACCGAGUCUUAACCGGGCGUUAAGUUGCAGGGUAUAGACCCGAAACCCGGUGAUCUAGCCAUGGGCAGGUUGAAGGUUGGGUAACACUAACUGGAGGACCGAACCGACUAAUGUUGAAAAAUUAGCGGAUGACCUGUGGC